CGCUCCCCCCGGGCGCGCCCCGAGCUGCGCCGACGUGUCCGGAGUCGAGGCGCCCGGAAACGGCCGGCCCCGCGGGCCUCCCGCCGCCCUGCGCUGGCCGGAGGGACCAGGUUUCGGGUUUUCAAGGCUUGCCAAGUCGUUUUGCAAGUCGGGUAGUUAGCGACCUAAGAGAUUCCUAGUGAUCGUGGAGCUCCUGCGGCUUCACCCCGGCUGCGCUCCAGGAUUCCCGGGAGAGUUGGUUUAACACCUGUUUCGUAUUCUCCAUUAAAAAAAAAAAAAUGCUAUCCGGUUGUAUUUCUAAGAAUCUACCCAAGACUCAUACUCGUGCCAGUGUGCACGAGGACGUCUGUGCAAAGUGUUUAAGCUCAGCAUUCCUCGUAACAGCGAACGACUGAAAAGAUCGAAUUGCCCAUCCGCAGAGAGCUGGUUAAAUACAGUGGAUGUGCUCACACAUGCCAGGGCAGGCAUGAUUUUCAGAGGCAGGCGCGGAACGAAGUAUGCUAUACCACCAUUGCGUACAAACCUAACGUGUGUUGUGUGUUCGCCUGUAAAUGCGUAGACUAUGAAAGAGUUCCUAGAAGUUGAUAUUGGUAGUUACUUUGGGGCUGAGAAAUUAGGGUGAAGGGUAGGAGGAAGCGAUUUCAUUUUAGGUCUUUCUGUCCUGGAUGUUGUAAAUCGUGCAUUUAUUGCCCUUUAAAAAAUAAACAGAGAAAACAUCA